CAGAGGUGGGUUUGGCUUUUUAAAAAUUUUUUCAGCCUGUCCUCAUGGAACUACAUAUUCUUUUCUAAGAACUUUUCAUCCUAACCUCCCUACUCACAUCUUCUAAGUGUCUCUGCUCUGGUGGGAAUGUGAUGGACAACACAGAGCCAUCUCAGAAGCCUCUGUGGCCACCACCAGGCCGGCCAGGGUGCAGGGGGCCACUCCCUGGGCAGCCAUAGGGUUCUCAGCAAGGUGCAUUCGUCGUCCCUGCUGAGAAUCUGAUGGGGCAGCAUUUUUUUUUUUAAUUAAAUGCAAGCUGAGUCAUUUCAACCUGCAACCUUCAGGUAACAGGAGUUACCCAAGCUCCAGGAAUUAUGAUUGUGGGGUAAACCCAUUCUCUUGUUUUCUUGCGGUUCUAUUUUAUAACGCACUAGAGGAGACAGAGACGUCAUUGCUUCACCCAGGGCAAGAGGACAAAGGAGGAUGCAUGGAAAUACAAACAGCCCUUCUCCUCCAGGCCAUACCGACUGUCCAACUAGCAACAGACUUCACCUGGUUUUGGAGCAAUCUGAAUUUGGAAUAUGCCAGAGAAAACUUCUAUCAGGCACGAUGGUAAGAGUCCAGUGGAUGGAAAAGGCCUCCUCCUUAAAGAUGGUGAUGGAAACGAGCACUGCACAGGGAAACACAAAUCAGGUCCCCUGAAAUCCAGCCCAACCUGGCCAGACCCUCCAGUGCCCAUCAGGGCUUAUGAACAGGGUGCUUCAGUGUCUUUGUUAGGGGUGGUUAAAAAGGAGCACGUGCUUAUAGGGGAUGCUGCUGAGCUCCAUGAUUUUGACUUCCUGUCUAACCUGUUGAUGCUACAAAACUCUUUUAAAAACAGUUACCAUGGGAACUUUUCCCUAGCAAGCAUUCUUCAAGAAACGUUACAGGGAGCUGUUGUUGGGACAGGACAAGAGUCCACAUCCCCUGCCCAGUGCCUGGUUCUGGGUCAUGUCACCGAAGCGCAUCAGCCCAUCUGUCAGCCAAACCCCACUAGCCUUGUGCCUUCUCUUCUAAAUCCCCGCGGAGGAAAACAACUUCUGCCUUCUACAGUACGAACAGCGAGGGUCUGCUGGGAACCAAUACAACUUCGCGUCCCAGUGCAGCAAUGUUGCCAGGUAACAAAUGUAGAAACAUACUCCAAAAACUGUAUGUGACAAUAUACAACCUCCGCUCUGCAGCUGAUAACCGAGGGAGUGUUAAAACACCGCGUUCUCUUAACACUUGGGUUUUUGGUGUGAAAGUAAAAUUAAACGGGAUACUUCCUCUUGUAAAUAUAAGACAGGCAUACAACUCACACACGUAUCCACUAAUCGGAAAUAGUAGAGGGGUUUGCAAUAGCUAUCUGCAGUGCAUCCCAGCCUUCACUCUUACCCUCAAGAUGAAUUCCAGAAAACCUACAGAAACGAUAACUGAGGAAGAGCCUUUCUUCUGUCGGGGACAAGCUCUCCUCUAACAAUUGUGAGGAAGCUACCCACAAGAAAGACACCAGCAGAAAUUAAGGAAAAGCUCAUGCAUUGUUAUUAAAAAAAAAUGUGCUUCCAUUCCACUCCAUUUUAAAGGUCUACCUUUAAAACUCAUUGGCUAACCAAGCAGUGACUACUUGCUUCUCAGAUCAAAUAACCAGUGCAGCCUGUUCCCACCCCAAACGAAAACAAGAUAGACACUGCUCUCUAGUAGGCAGAGCUCCAAAGUGGGUACAGGGCACUGAAUAGCUCCCUCACAUUGUACUCAUGUAACUUAAAGGCUGGCUAGCAUGGGAGAAAGCUGAGAGACUUCUGAGGGCCUUGUGUUCAAAUCCCAGCU
rnacentral:lncRNA from 1 species